GCCCCCAUCGUCUAGCGGCCUAGGACAUUGCCCUCUCACGGCAAAGACAGGGGUUCAAAUCCCCUUGGGGGUACCA
rnacentral:tRNA from 1 species